AGUGAACGCUGGCGGUAGGCCUAACACAUGCAAGUCGAACGGCAGCACAGUAAGAUCUUGCUCUUACGGGUGGCGAGUGGCGGACGGGUGAGGAAUACAUCGGAAUCUACUUUUUCGUGGGGGAUAACGGAGGGAAACUUACGCUAAUACCGCAUACGACCUACGGGUGAAAGCAGUGGAUAUUCGGAGCUUUCGCGACUGAUUGAGCCGAUGUCGGGUUAGCUAGUUGGCGUGGUAAAGUCCCACCAAGGCGACGAUCCGUAGCUGGUCUGAGAGGAUGAUCAGCCACACUGGAACUGAGACACGGUCCAGACUCCUACGGGAGGCAGCAGUGGGGAAUCUUGGACAAUGGGCGCAAGCCUGAUGCAGCCAUACCGCGUGGGUGAAGAAGGCCUUCGGGUCGUAAAGCCCUUUUGUUGGGAAAGAAAAGCAGCAGGUUAAUCCCCCGCUGUCCUGACGGUACCCAAAGAAUAAGCCCCGGCUAACUUCGUG
rnacentral:rRNA from 1 species